GAUGAAGGACGUAGCGAAAUGCGAUAAGUAGUGUGAAUUGCAGAAUUCAGUGAAUCAUCGAAUCUUUGAACGCACAUUGCGCCCCUUGGUAUCCCGAGGGGCAUGCCUGUUCGAGCGUCAUUUCACCACUCAAGCCUGGCUUGGUGUUGGGCGACGUCCUCUUUGGGGACGCGCCUCGAAACGCUCGGCGGCGUGGCACCGGCUUUAAGCGUAGCAGAAUCUUUCGCUUUGGAAGUCGGGGCCCCGUCUGCCGGAAGACCUGCUCGCAAGGUUGACCUCGGAUCAGGCAGGGAUACCCGCUGAACUUAAGCAUAUCAAUAAGCGGAGGA
rnacentral:misc_RNA from 1 species